UGGGGAAUAUUGCACAAUGGGCGCAAGCCUGAUGCAGCCAUGCCGCGUGUAUGAAGAAGGCCUUCGGGUUGUAAAGUACUUUCAGCGGGGAGGAAGGCGAUAAGGUUAAUAACCUUGUCGAUUGACGUACCCGCAGAAGAAGCACCGGCUAACUCCGUGCCAGCAGCCGCGGUAAUACGGAGGGUGCAAGCGUUAAUCGGAAUUACUGGGCGUAAAGCGCACGCAGGCGGUCUGUCAAGUCGGAUGUGAAAUCCCCGGGCUCAACCUGGGAACUGCAUUCGAAACUGGCAGGCUAGAGUCUUGUAGAGGGGGUAGAAUUCCAGGUGUAGCGGUGAAAUGCGUAGAGAUCUGGAGGAAUACCGGUGGCGAAGGCGGCCCCCUGGACAAAGACUGACGCUCAGGUGCGAAAGCGUGGGGAGCAAACA
rnacentral:rRNA from 1 species